rnacentral:piRNA from 1 species
UGAUUUCAAUCUUAUUGGUAC